rnacentral:rRNA from 1 species
GGAAAGGCGCGCGAUACAGGGUGACAGCCCCGUACACAAAAAUGCACAUGCUGUGAGCUCGAUGAGUAGGGCGGGACACGUGGUAUCCUGUCUGAAUAUGGGGGGACCAUCCUCCAAGGCUAAAUACUCCUGACUGACCGAUAGUGAACCAGUACCGUGAGGGAAAGGCGAAAAGAACCCCGGCGAGGGGAGUGAAAAAGAACCUGAAACCGUGUACGUACAAGCAGUGGGAGCACGCUUAGGCGUGUGACUGCGUACCUUUUGUAUAAUGGGUCAGCGACUUAUAUUCUGUAGCAAGGUUAACCGAAUAGGGGAGCCGAAGGGAAACCGAGUCUUAACUGGGCGUUAAGUUGCAGGGUAUAGACCCGAAACCCGGUGAUCUAGCCAUGGGCAGGUUGAAGGUUGGGUAACACUAACUGGAGGACCGAACCGACUAAUGUUGAAAAAUUAGCGGAUGACUUGUGGCUGGGGGUGAAAGGCCAAUCAAACCGGGAGAUAGCUGGUUCUCCCCGAAAGCUAUUUAGGUAGCGCCUCGUGAAUUCAUCUCCGGGGGUAGAGCACUGUUUCGGCAAGGGGGUCAUCCCGACUUACCAACCCGAUGCAAACUGCGAAUACCGGAGAAUGUUAUCACGGGAGACACACGGCGGGUGCUAACGUCCGUCGUGAAGAGGGAAACAACCCAGACCGCCAGCUAAGGUCCCAAAGUCAUGGUUAAGUGGGAAACGAUGUGGGAAGGCCCAGACAGCCAGGAUGUUGGCUUAGAAGCAGCCAUCAUUUAAAGAAAGCGUAAUAGCUCACUGGUCGAGUCGGCCUGCGCGGAAGAUGUAACGGGGCUAAACCAUGCACCGAAGCUGCGGCAGCGAC